UACGUAGGGGGCAAGCGUUGUCCGGAAUUAUUGGGCGUAAAGAGCGUGUAGGCGGUCCGGUAAGUCAGCUGUGAAAGUCAAGGGCUCAACCCUUGAAUGCCGGUUGAUACUGUCGGGCUAGAGUCCGGAAGAGGCGAGUGGAAUUCCCGGUGUAGCGGUGAAAUGCGCAGAUAUCGGGAGGAACACCAAUGGCGAAAGCAGCUUUCUGGGACGGUACUGACGCUGAGACGCGAAAGCGUGGGGAGCGAACAGG
rnacentral:rRNA from 1 species